CCUACGGGUGGCUGCAGUGAGGAAUAUUGGUCAAUGGCCGUAAGGCUGAACCAGCCAAGUAGCGUGAGGGAAGACUGCCCUAUGGGUUGUAAACCUCUUUUAUGCGGGGAUAAAGGUGUCGACGUGUGGAUGUUUGCAGGUACCGCAUGAAUAAGGACCGGCUAAUUCCGUGCCAGCAGCCGCGGUAAUACGGAAGGUCCGGGCGUUAUCCGGAUUUAUUGGGUUUAAAGGGAGCGUAGGCCGGUCUUUAAGCGUGCCGUGAAAUUUUGUGGCUCAACCAUGAGAGUGCGGCGCGAACUGGAGACCUUGAGUGCGCGGAAGGCAGGCGGAAUUCGUGGUGUAGCGGUGAAAUGCUUAGAUAUCAGGAGGAACACCGGCGGCGAAGGCGGCCUGCUGGACCGCGACUGACGUUGAGGCUCGAAAGCGUGGGGAGCGAACAGGAUUAGAUACCCCUGUAGUC
rnacentral:rRNA from 1 species